AUUUUGGGCAAUGGGCGCAAGCCUGACCCAGCAACGCCGCGUGAAGGAAGAAGGCUUUCGGGUUGUAAACUUCUUUUGUCGGGGACGANNCAAAUGACGGUACCCGACGAAUAAGCCACGGCUAACUACGUGACAGCAGCCGCGGUAAUACGUAGGUGGCAAGCGUUAUCCGGAUUUACUGGGUGUAAAGGGCGUGUAGGCGGGAUUGCAAGUCAGAUGUGAAAACUGGGGGCUCAACCUCCAGCCUGCAUUUGAAACUGUAGUUCUUGAGUGCUGGAGAGGCAAUCGGAAUUCCGUGUGUAGCGGUGAAAUGCGUAGAUAUACGGAGGAACACCAGUGGCGAAGGCGGAUUGCUGGACAGUAACUGACGCUGAGGCGCGAAAGCGUGGGGAGCAAACAGG
rnacentral:rRNA from 1 species